ACAAAAAUUCUAAAGAAAUUCCACUUCAAAAAUUGGUGAUACACAAGUGUGUGGAAUACAACUUUUUAAGAUUAAGCUAAAGUAAUAAAGUAUAAAAGUAAUAUAAAAGUAAUAAAGUCUAUGAUGAUACACUUACAGAACUAAUGAUAUCAUAAAUCGUUUCAGCAUAGAAGAAUCCAGGACAAUACGAGCAAUAAACACGAGAAAAACUUAACGCUAUGUUAGGUUUAGACGUUUUAAUACCUUUUACAAGCCUAAGGCCUAUAUGAACAUGGUACUGCGGUUGUAAGACCACAUAAGUAUAGGUACUAUAAAACCUAGCUCAUGAACCCUACAAUAAAAAACGCCAUCGACAAAAACGUUGCCGUUUCAUCAAAACGUUGCCGUUUUAUUCGUAAAAAUUUAACUCUCAUACGCCUAAAGAAGUAUCACUUCAAUAAAGAGAAACGAGUAAUGUAAAAUCAUAAUGGAAACGGAUAGAGUUAAAAUUCAAAUUCGUCAAAUCAUGCCGACUAACAUCGACACUUCUGAUGUUGCCAUCAGCGAACCAUACAUAUAUUUGGGAUCCUAGUCAUAUAUAUACAGGAAAAGAAAUUUAAUUUCACGCAUACACACGUUACAAAGUAAAUUCAAAUACUAUCCUAAAACCUACAGAAUAUCUAAAGUAAAUAAUAGGAAAAACUAUACAGUACAUCAGUUGAAAAUCCAAGCUUGUACGACUUAAGUUUUCAAGUGCUAAAGUGCUUAAGAUUCAUCUCGUGUUCGGUAAGGGGUAACAUCUUGAGAAAACCUGUUCCUGUAAAUUUUAAGACAUCCGAAAACUGAGUGAAGUGCCGUGAUAGAUUAAGUUAGUGACAGUCUCAACGAUCUACACACACUGCCUUACGUUUAGGACGUACUACAAAGAAUAUAUUUAGAUA
rnacentral:misc_RNA from 1 species